CCUACGGGGGGCAGCAGUGGGGAAUAUUGCACAAUGGGGGAAACCCUGAUGCAGCGACGCCGCGUGAGUGAAGAAGUAAUUCGGUAUGUAAAGCUCUAUCAGCAGGGAAGAAACUGACGGUACCUGAGUAAGAAGCCCCGGCUAACUACGUGCCAGCAGCCGCGGUAAUACGUAGGGGGCAAGCGUUAUCCGGAUUUACUGGGUGUAAAGGGAGCGUAGACGGCAGUGCAAGUCUGGAGUGAAAGGCGGGGGCUCAACCCCCGGACUGCUCUGGAAACUGUACGGCUGGAGUGCAGGAGAGGUAAGUGGAAUUCCUAGUGUAGCGGUGAAAUGCGUAGAUAUUAGGAGGAACACCAGUGGCGAAGGCGGCUUACUGGACUGUAACUGACGCUGAGGCGCGAAAGCGUGGGGAGCAAACAGGAUUAGAUACCCCAGUAGUC
rnacentral:rRNA from 1 species